CGGACGGGUGAGUAACGCGUGGGUAACCUGCCUUGUACUGGGGGGACAACAGUUGGAAACGACUGCUAAUACCGCAUAAGCGCACAGCUUCGCAUGAAGCAGUGUGAAAAACUCCGGUGGUACAAGAUGGACCCGCGUCUGAUUAGCUGGUUGGUGAGGUACGGCCCACCAAGGCAACGAUCAGUAGCCGGCCUGAGAGGGUGAACGGCCACAUUGGGACUGAGACACGACCCAA
rnacentral:rRNA from 1 species